CUUUGACUCAUCAUCGAUCGCCACUGCCACCAUAUUAACCUUGACUUGCUACAGUGAAGGAUUACGAAGAACGAAGAAUUGUAAUUGUCGCAUGACGAAAGCACUUCCUUCUUUUUGCGAAUGUAAUGUCUGCUUCAUACUGAAGUCUAUGGAAUUGGUAAUCCCCUUUCCUCUUAACCCUUCGUAGCAAAGUGAAGUGCUGUGUUGCAAUGAAGCUUGUUGGAACUGCAAUGCAAAGCAAUUAAAUGCGUUAGCAUUCUAUCGCAAACACUAUUCAAUCAUCGAAGUGUUCAGAGAAGAAAGGAAGGAGACUUGACUGAUAUACUUUUACGAUUGACACACUUUUGCAAUCGACUGAAGAAAUUUCCUUAUGAGCAAGCGCACCUGUAAAAAGUAAGUACCUAAGCAACAAGUCGUCCUUCUCAAUCAUAGAAUCACAGCUUCGGGCCCUUUCGACUUGUUUUAUGAAGAUUUUUCUUCUUUUUCAUGUGAAAGUAAAUUUUCAUACACUCGUCAGUCUUUCUCUAGUUGUUGUACCUUGUUCUUUUUUUUUUUUUUUUUUUUUGAAUUUGUACAUCUACCCUCAUCUCCACCCUUUGCAACAUGUCAUGCAAGUACAACGAUUAAGGGAUACUAAAACACUUUCCAGUAACUAACAAACACAUUUUCAUACUCAUAUAUUAUCCAUUAAUUGCUGUUACGUAUGGGCGGCACAAUAUCACUUACAUCUCAUGAAUUAGCGACAUGAAUGUGGAGAAGCUUGGGGAAAAAGAAUGCGACAAACCUUCCUACAACGUAGCCGUUUAUUUUCAUAGGAAUAGAUAGAAAUAGAAUUUAUUGAAACAUUCUUCAUUUGAAAAUGGGUUUUCAACAGACUUGGUAUUCUACCUUUACAAACUUAUUAUAUUUUCUUCUUUAUUGCUCCAUUUGUUAUAUUCACCAGCCCCAAUUUGAUGUAACGCAUUUCGCAGUUCCUUUCUGCACCCUACUGUUCUUUACGGUACAUCACUCUUAUUGUUAGCUACGCAGUUCGGUAUCUGUUUACCGAUACAUAUUGACCCGCGGUGAGUUUCUCUUGCGAUCUACAAUAUAACGGUAAAGCGGUAUGCGGUAUGUUCACUAGUAUCUUAGUAUAUGACAUAUAGUGAUACGCGGCGUAGUAAAUUAUAUAGUGUAGUGCUAUAUUGCUGACGCACAAUUCGCUUUACUGAAUUUGUCUAAGCUGCACAAUUUUUUUACUGUUCCCGCUACGCCGCCUUACCUUUGUAGUACAUGUGACUAGACAAACUCGCUCUUUUAUCACAUCUCACUCUUUUACACUAUGCGUUUUAUCGUAUUCCUUCAUUAUACACUAUGCAUGCUGUACUUUUUAAUGCUACACUAAAAAUACGCACACUUAUUGCUUUGAAUUCAUUUACAUUAACUUGUCACUCAUUCACUAUUUUUACAUUAGCACCUUUUUUCUACUUAUGCUGUUAUUCUGAAAACAAC
rnacentral:misc_RNA from 1 species